GACGAACGCUGGCGGCAUGCCUAACACAUGCAAGUCGAACGAGACCUUCGGGUCUAGUGGCGCACGGGUGCGUAACGCGUGGGAACCUGCCCUUAGGUUCGGAAUAACUCCCCGAAAGGGGUGCUAAUACCGGAUAAUGUCUUCGGACCAAAGAUUUAUCGCCUUUGGAUGGGCCCGCGUUGGAUUAGCUAGUUGGUAGGGUAAAAGCCUACCAAGGCGACGAUCCAUAGCUGGUCUGAGAGGAUGAUCAGCCACACUGGGACUGAGACACGGCCCAGACUCCUACGGGAGGCAGCAGUGGGGAAUAUUGGACAAUGGGCGAAAGCCUGAUCCAGCAAUGCCGCGUGAGUGAUGAAGGCCUUAGGGUUGUAAAGCUCUUUUACCCGGGAUGAUAAUGACAGUACCGGGAGAAUAAGCUCCGGCUAACUCCGUGC
rnacentral:rRNA from 1 species